UUUAAGAUUAGAGUCUGCUGUAAAUAGUUUUGUCUUUGGUUAAAGUACCUUUUGCAUCAUGAUUCUUUGAGAUGUUUAGAUUAUUUCUAGUUCCCGAAUGGCUUAUGAUUUUCAUUGAUUCAUAGCAAGUUUGUGCAUAGAUAAGUUGUUGUGUAAACAUUUGUAGAAAUCAUUGAGGUUGUGAUAAAUAAUUCGUAUAGUCUGAUAACUGGUUUAUAGCUUGAUUAUUUCAACGAAAUAAAGAUUGAUUGUGUUUAUCUUUACUGAUAGAGAUAGUUUAUAUGUUGUUGUUGAGUCUUGGAUUAGAAUUGUCCUAGGAUAAGUUAGUUAUUUACUUGACAUUUUAUUUGUAUGUUUUCUUAUUGUUGAUGGCUAUAUUCUUAAUUAUUUGUUUAAUAAUGAAGAAAUGAGUAGGAUUAUGUUUUAUUAGUCCGUUAUUUGUCUUUAAUUCUGUUCAACUGUUUAUCAAAAACAUUGCUAUUUGUUGGAUUUAAAUAGUAUGGCCUGCCCAAUGUUGUAAAUUAAUGGUCGCAGUUUUACUGUGCUAAGGUAGCAUAAUAUAUCGCUUCUUAAUUAGUGGCUUGUGAAUGGUUUAAUGAAAUAGAAUAUUUAAAUGAUGACUAUAUCUGAAAUUGAUUUAGUGGUGCGGAAUCCAUUGUUAUAAUAUAAGACGGAAAGACCCCGAGAUCUUGAAUUAAUUUUCUAAUUUUGUUUGGGGUAAAUGUAUAUAUUUCAUUUAUUUUUAGAUCCUAUAUAUUGGUGGAUAUAGGUUAAAGUUACCUCGGGGAUAACUGAGUAAAGAGUUGUGAGAGGUCUUAUUGAUCAACUUGUUACUACCUCGAUGUUGGCUUAAAGAACCUUUAUGGUGUAGCAGCUAUAUAAGGUGGUCUGUUCGACCAUUAAAUCUUUAUGAGUCGAGUUAAGACCGGUGUAAGCCAGGUCGGUUCUUAUCUAUAAGUGAAUCUAGUUAGUACGAAAGGAAUAUUAGAGUGUAAGAUGUUGCA
rnacentral:rRNA from 1 species